UACGUAUGGAGCAAGCGUUAUCCGGAUUUACUGGGUGUAAAGGGAGCGCAGACGGCUGUGCAAGUCUGGAGUGAAAGGCGGGGGCUCAACCCCUGGACUGCUUUGGAAACUGUAUGGCUGGAGUGCAGGAGAGGUAAGUGGAAUUCCUAGUGUAGCGGUGAAAUGCGUAGAUAUUAGGAGGAACACCAGUGGCGAAGGCGGCUUACUGGACUGUAACUGACGUUGAGGCUCGAAAGCGUGGGGAGCAAACAGG
rnacentral:rRNA from 1 species